AUACGGAGGGUGCAAGCGUUACUCGGAAUCACUGGGCGUAAAGCGCGCGCAGGCGGCUAUUUAAGUUGGAUGUGAAAGCCUACGGCUCAACCGUAGAACUGCAUCCAAAACUAUUUAGCUAGAGUGUGGGAGAGGAAGAUGGAAUUAGUUGUGUAGGGGUAAAAUCCGUAGAGAUAACUAGGAAUACCAAAAGCGAAGGCAAUCUUCUGGAACACUACUGACGCUGAGGCGCGAAAGCGUGGGGAGCAAACGGGAUUAGAAACCCCGGUAGUCC
rnacentral:rRNA from 1 species